GCUGCAGCAGAUCUUCCGCCUGACCUUGACUUUGAACAUGAAAUCGCUGCCAGACUGCAGAGAGUACGGAGGUCAGUGUGAAGGAUGGAGAGAAAAAAAAAGACCUUUGAUUUUAAACAUUAAAAAUAUUUGGAAAAUGGAAGACACAAACAAGGAAAAAAAAACAAAAAACUGAAAACAAAGAAAAAUGAACAAAAAAGUGUGUUAAAUGUCAAAUUAAAUAACUGCAUGUUACUGAUCUUUGCAGGAGAAGAUGAGAGUUAAAGAGCUUGGACCUGGUCUUCGCAGGAGAAGAUGAAGGUUAAAGAGCUUGGACCUGAUCUUUGUAGAAGAAGAUGAGAGUUAAAGAGUGUCGACCUGGUCUUUGCAGGAGAAGAUGAAGGUUAAACAGCGUGGGCCUAAUCUUUGCAGAAGAUAAGGGGUAAAGAGCUUGGACCUGAUCCUUGCAGGAGAAAGAGUUUGGGAAGAGUUUGGACCUAAUGUUUGCAGGAUAAGAUGCGGGUCAAAGAG